ACUUUGCAGCCUUGUGAAGCCGCUCCCUGCAUGGACUAUUGCUUGUGGGCACAACAAGGUUGCAGAGAGCAUCUCAAAGAAUGAAAAGGCGUGACUUCUGGAGGCUCAGGAGGUUCACGUGCGAUGUUCCUUGGACAAACUUCCUGCUUUCCACGGCGGUGACGGGCUUGUUCAGUAGCCAUCACCUUUCUUGAGGCAGGUAGAGUAAAAACUGACGGUCAGAUAUUGUUUGAAACAGGUGAAGCUCUUCCUGUCAGACACUGUCAACUGUCGCACAA